GGCCCGAGCGUUACCCGGAUUUACUGGGCGUAAAGCGCGUGUAGGCGGCCGGAUAAGUCGAGGGUGAAAGCCCCCGGCUCAACCGGGGAACGGCCCUUGAUACUGUCCGGCUCGAGGGCGGUAGAGGCCGGUGGAGCUACCGGAGUAGCGGUGAAAUGCGCAGAUACCGGUAGAAACCUCGAUGGCGAAGGCAGCCGGCUGGACCGUCCCUGACGCUGAGGCGCGAAAGCGUGGGGAGCGAACCGGAUUAGAUACCCGGGUAGUCCACGCCCUAAACGAUGCCCGCUAGGUGUCGGUCCUUUAAAGUUUGGAUCGGUGCCGCAGCUAACGCGUUAAGCGGGCCGCCUGGGGAGUACGGUCGCAAGGCUGAAACUCAAGGGAAUUGGCGGGAGCCCACACAAGCGGUGGAGCAUCUGGUUCAAUUCGAUGAUAAGCGAAGAACCUUACCCGGGCUUGACAUGCCGGCAUAAGCCUGUCCGAAAGGGCGGGGUGGAAGGGCCCUUCGGGGCCUGGAGGCCGGCACAGGUGCUGCAUGGCUGUCGUCAGCUCGUGCCGUGGGGCGUCGGGUUAAGUCCCGCAACGAGCGCAACCCCUGCCCCUAGUUGCCAGCGGCUUAGGCCGGGCUACUCUAGGGGGACUGCCGGCGACAAGCCGGAGGAAGGAGGGGAUGACGUCAAGUCAGCAUGGCCCUUAUGCCCGGGGCGACACAGAUGCUACAGUGGGGGGUACAAAGGGAAGCGAAGCCGCAAGGCGGAGCCAAUCCCUAAAAGCCCCUCGAGGUUCGGAUUGGGGUCUGCAACUCGACCCCAUGAAGCCGGAAUCGCUAGUAAUCGCGGGUCAGCCAUACCGCGGUGAAUGUGUACUUGGGCCUUGUACACACCGCCCGUCAAGGGCGAAUUCGUUUAAACCUGCAGG
rnacentral:rRNA from 1 species